rnacentral:rRNA from 1 species
AGCGAACGCUGGCGGCAGGCCUAACACAUGCAAGUCGAACGAAGUCUUCGGACUUAGUGGCGGACGGGUGAGUAACACGUAGGAACGUGCCUUUAGGUUCGGAAUAACUCAGGGAAACUUGUGCUAAUACCGAAUGUGCCCUUCGGGCGAAAGAUUUAUCGCCUUUAGAGCGGCCCGCGGCUGAUUAGCUAGUUGGUGAGGUAAAGGCUCACCAAGGCGACGAUCAGUAGCUGGUCUGAGAGGAUGAUCAGCCACAUUGGGACUGAGACACGGCCCAAACUCCUACGGGAGGCAGCGGUGGGGAAUCUUGCGCAAUGGGCGAAAGCCUGACGCAGCCAUGCCGCGUGAAUGAUGAAGGUCUUAGGAUUGUAAAAUUCUUUCACCGGGGACGAUAAUGACGGUACCCGGAGAAGAAGCCCCGGCUAACUUCGUGCCAGCAGCCGCAGUAAGAC